GAAGGAGCUAGAAAUUAAGCUUUGCCAAACUCCAGAUUGAUUCGAUCAUAUACCUCUUCGUUUACCAGCAAAAAGCUUAAUAAUAGCCUUCUUAUAAGCAAAUAUUGCAUUUUAGAGGUGAUAUUAUGGCA
rnacentral:sRNA from 14 species